AUUGAACGCUGGCUGCAGGCCUAACACAUGCAAGUCGAACGAGUGGCGGACGGGUGAGUAAUGUCUGGGAAACUGCCCGAUGGAGGGGGAUAACUACUGGAAACGGUAGCUAAUACCGCAUACUAUCGGAUGUGCCCAUAUGGGAUUGGCUAGUAGGUGGGGUAAAGGCUCACCUAGGCGACGAUCCCUAGCUGGUCUGAGAGGAUGACCAGCCACACUGGGAAUGGGACACGGUCCAGACUCCUACGGGAGGCAGCAGUGGGGAAGAUUGCACAAUGGGCGCAAGCCUGAUGCAGCCAUGCCGCAUGUAUGAAGAAGGCCUUAGGGUUGUAAAGUACUUUCAGCGGGGAGGCGUUACCCGCAGAAGAAGCACCGGCUAACUCCGUGCCAGCAGCCGCGGUAAUAC
rnacentral:rRNA from 1 species